UCAUAUACAGGAGACCAGUCAGCCAUCUUGAUGAAGUACAAGCUCCACCACAUUCAAAUCAUGUCUCAAUAAGUUUAAAAAAAAAAUCAAAGCAAAUGAUACUCCAAUUUAAAAAAAAUAAAUAAAUAAAUAAAAACUCAUCACACGUUGAAUUGAGAUCUUAGGUUAUUGGUAUGCCAACUUCAGAUCACCCUACACUUUCACAUUGCCAGACCAAAUGAAAAACUAAAUAUUGCCAGAAAUUAUAGUUAAAUUUCCAUCACCAGCCACCGAAAGAGUACAGAAGUUUGACAUAACUCACAAUUUCUCAAAACUUUCAGGAAGUUGGACAUUCAGAUUCAAAGGAACCUGCGAUGAGGAUCUUUUCAUGGAACCUGAAGAGCGCACCAAGUAUUUUGCUUUUUCUUCAGAGGUGGGCCAAUACUCCAUGCCUCUGCGAUUUGUAAUCCAUAGGCAUGAUCCAGCUUUACUCUCGUCAGUAAUAAGCUCAAAAGCACCUAAAAGAAAAGAUAUUUGGAAUAUCAGAUAAUAGUUUCAAAACAAAGGGGCAGGGGAGGCUCAAAGGUUAAAUGAGCAUUGAUCUCAUGUGUUCAUUUUUUUUCCUUUUUUCCCUCAAAAUGUAUUUUAGUGAAAUUUCAUUGGCAUCAAUUGUUUUCUUAUUGUUAACAAAUAAUGUAUCUGGCAUUCCAGUACACAUCCAAACAAGGAUAAAGUGCAUAAAGUUGACAACCUGCAGGGGUCUAAUGAAAUUGCAAGCCAGAUUUAUUCAUCCUUCUUCUCAAGAAAAAGGAAUAAAAGAGAAAGAAAAAGGUAUAUUCACUCUGCACCUGAAGCUGAUAUUUUUUGUACCCAGCAAGAGUAAUUUAAGUUCAUUUUAAUGAGUCUUUGUUGUUCAGAUUUCAGACAAUUCAAGCCUUACAAUUUUCCACUGCAUAAGGAUGUUGUACUAGAGACUUCUCAUAAAUUUUGGAACAGCAAAGUAACUCGAACUAUUAGUGCCACAUCAGAUUUAAACAUUUGAAGAGUAAUACCUUUCACUACCAUUUCCAUAGGUACAAAGCCCCCCAUCAGAUCAAUAAAUUUGGAGCCCACCUUUAAUCCCAUCUCAGUUUGAACAAACUGCAAACAAGAAUUCACAGUGAAACUAGUUCAGACUGGCCCAUUUUCAAAAUGUUGGCUAAAUAUCACACUAGAGGACAUCCGGAAUGCUUCAAAUGGAAUGAUACCUCAGGGCAAAGCACAUUGAUGCGAAUUCCCUUGCGUUUGUAGGGAGUAAGUGAUCUAGUAAAUAAAACAACACCACCUAUGGGGAAAAAAAAAUUGUUACAAGAAUCAAAUUCUACAUUACAAAAAGAUACUUGUGCAUGUGUAGGUAUCUUUCCUUUUCUAACUGACAUCAAAUGAACAUAAGGUAAUCUAAAUGAGUGCCCGAAAUAAAAUCAGUGACACAAUGUAGUACAACCAUCAAACCUUUGGAAGCAGAGUAGAUAGGAUCAUUGUACAUUGGAUAAAGACCUGCAGAAGAUCCCAUAUUUAUAAUCACUCCAGGCUUUUUUGCAGCUUGCAUAAUUCCAAUCUGUUAUGAUAAAAUGUACUCAUAAUCACCACUCACUCUCUUCCAAAUAGCAAAUUAAAAUAGCAAAUUAAAAGGACAAACAUAAAUCCAUCUCUUGAAACUUUUAACAUCUUGAAGUUGUGAAGUACAUUCUUUUGUUCCGCAACGAGGAGAGUGCAACUUAUCAAACAUACGUUGUGCAGUUAGCUUAUAGACAAUCAUGCACACCCAAAAAUGGGGAAAAAAAAUCCUCUAAAAUUUGCUAAUGGCAGCAGGCAAAGCAUUACCAGAAAAAGAAUCCACUUUGUAUAUCAAAAAAAUUCACACAAUAAUUACUUACUUUGUGAAUAGACUAUAGUUAGAAGUUUUUUGAAUCACAUGGAUAAUUUAUGUGGCCUGGGGACAUCUUAAGGCUGUACUAAACUCUGACAUUAACAGCUUAUCAAGAAGUGUUCAACAGAUAUUAACCUCAUCAACAAUGUCAAACAAACCAUGGCAAUAAGUUGAGUAAGAGCAACCAAUAAGUUAAGUAAACCAUGAAGGCAAGUCAAAUUUUAAGCAUACAGCUUUCUGAGUGCAAUCAAUAACUGCAAUCAAGUUCACAUCAAGAGUGAAUCUCCAUGAACGUGUGCCAUCAGUUUGAUCCUUUGGGAAUGGAAUAGGAUUACUUAUCCCAGCACCGUUGAUACAUAUAUCCAAUCCUCCAUAUGUAGCUACGUGCUUCUCAAAAGCAGCAGCUGUAUCUCCUGUUCAUUGAAUAUGAUGAAUACACAUAACUAUCUGAAAACAUAAGUUGCACGUUGAGGAGAACAAGAAGAAAACAUGUCCAGAAAUUGAUGCUCUUUACUAUCAAUAAGUGAGAUGCAAAUCUGUUUGAUGGAUUACUUGUAAACUUAUCUAGUAACAAUACAAGAAAUGAUUGGAUAUGCAAAUUCUUGCAAAGCAACGCCAUAUUAAGUUAAAAAAAAUGUUCUGUUUCCCAUUAAAACCACAACAUAAUACAACAGAUAAGUAAAUAACUAAAAUAUGUAAUAUAAAAAUCGUUAAAAUUCAUUUUUUGAAAUCCCCUCUUUCACAGCCUCAGAAAAGCCAAUGCAAACUAUGAACUAGGAAAAGUGAAAAAGUACAAAACGAGAACAGUCCGGUGUCGACAAAUAAGUAAAUAUAAGCAAACUUACUUGUGUUAGCCACAUCACAUCUUAUAAACGUAGCAGAUGGAAAUCCUAAGUUUGAAUAAAACUUAGCAUUCUCUUUUUCAACAAGCGCUGCAACUUCCUUUCCCUUUUCUUCAGAGAAAUCAACAACUGUCACAAAGACUCCCUUCCCUGCAAGAGCUAAACUCAAAGCUCUACCUGCAAAAUAUACACCAGCAUUGACAAAAUCCGCAAAUUAUAUACUAUCCGUCACAACAAUUCAAAUUUCAAUAACUUCCCUUACAUAUGAAUAAAAUCAUUUUAGGCUAUCUUCAGAAGCCUCCGAUUGAUGAGAGUAACUACUAACUACUCAUAGGACAUAUCGUAUACAAGAAAAAUAAGCAUAUAGUGGAUUAUUAAUGAUUAGAAAAUCCCAAAAACGCAAACCCAGAUUCUAGAAUAUCCAAAGGAUCUAAAUUUCAAUAAGAAACAACCAAAGACACAACACCACCUAUCAAGUGCUAAACAAAACACAAUCAAUACACAAACACGAACCCAGUAUAGGAAUCAGAAUUGGGUACUUAAAUGCAAGAAAAAGAAAAUCAAAAGUCUCGAAGUUUUUACCAAUCCCAGAUGCACCGCCGGUGACCAAAGCUGAUAAGCCCGGCUUGAGCUCCAUUUUAUGAACAGGCAGAGAGUCAAAGGGAAGCGAUUAAACUACUCGGUUAAGAGUUUUCUUAUGUGAGCGGGCUUUUACUGUCCCUUUUUCCGGGUAUUUAUUUGUAACAUACUGAAAUUUGUUGUUACUCUAAAUUGCCAAAUGAAGGGGUGAUGUUAUCAAGACGGCUUCCCAUAUCUCUCGCCGGACCACAAUUUGCGCGGCACUGGGGUCACCUCAUUUUCCGUAUUUGUUUGUUUACACGUGCAAAUAAGAGUGAAUUGCAUGGGAUAUACCAUGUUUCCCUCAUAAUACCUAAAAUAUACCUCAAUCCAUUAAAAUCUAUAACUUUAUACAUACAUACUUAAAAAAAUUAAGAAAAAAAUAAAAAUAACCUUAAUAAAAUACUAAUAAAAAAUUAAUACUCGACUCAUUCAAUCUACGUACUCGACUAGAUACUCGAUUUAUUCAAUUACCUUUACUUCUUACUCGAUUGAACGCUCAACUUACCAGACUUCAUACUUGACUUCGUACUCGACUAGAUACUCGACUUAUUCAAUUACUUUUACUUCUUACUCAACUGAAUACGUAAUUUACCAGACUUCAUACCCAACUUCAUAAAAUGCUCAACUUACCAAACUUCAUACCCGACUUCGUACUCGACUUAUUCAAUUGCAUUUACAUCUUACUCGACUGAAUACUCAACUUACCAUAUUUCAUACCCAACUUCGUACUCGACUAGAUACUAGACUUAUUCAAUUGCAUUUAUUUUUUACUCGACUGAAUCGUACUCGACUAAAUACUCGACUUAUUCAAUUUCCUUCACUUCUUACUCAAUUAAAUGCUCAACUUACCAGACUCCAUACUCAACUUCGUACUCGACUAGAUACUCGACUUAUUCAAUUGCAUUCACUUUUUACUCGACUGAAUGCUCAACUUACCAAACUUCAUACCCGACUUCGUACUCGACUUAUUCAAUUGCAUUUACAUCUUACUCGACUGAAUACUCAACUUACCACAUUUCAUACCCAACUUCAUACUCGACUAAAUACUCGACUUAUUCAAUUGCAUUCAUUUUUUACUCGACUGAAUGCUCAACUUACCAAACUUCAUACCCGACUUCGUACUCGACUUAUUCAAUUGCCUUCAUUUCUUACUCGACUGAAUACUCAACUUACCACAUUUCAUACCCAACUUCAUACUCGACUAAAUACUCGACUUAUUCAAUUGCAUUCAUUUUUUACUCGACUGAAUGCUCAACUUACCAAAUUUCAUACCCGACUUCGUACUCGACUUAUUCAAUUGCCUUCACUUCUUACUCGACUGAAUACUCAACUUACCAUAUUUCAUACCCAACUUCGUACUCGACUAGAUACUCAACUUACCAUACUUCAUACCCGACUUCGUAUUUGACUAGAUACUCGACUUAUUCAAUUGCAUUCACUUUUUACUCGACUGAAUGCUCAACUUACCAAACUUUAUACAAAAAGAAUAUUUUGAAUUAUCGAAUCAAAGUAACUGCUGUACGGCCAAGGCGGAUGUACGGUACAGCAGCUUACUCGACUGAAUGCUCAACUUACCAUACUUCAUACCCGACUUCGUACUCGACUAAAUACUCGACUUAUUCAAUUUCCUUCACUUCUUACUCAAUUAAAUGCUCAACUUACCAGACUCCAUACUCAACUUCGUACUCGACUAGAUACUCGACUUAUUCAAUUGCAUUCACUUCUUACUCGACUGAAUGCUCAACUUACCAGACUUCACUUUUUUAAAAAUAUUAAUACUCGACUCAAUAUACUUACCCGACUUAAUGCUCGACCUCUUUAAAAAUUACAUUUUACUUGACUUGUUCAAAAAUUUACUUGACUUUUACUUAAUACUCGACCACUUAAUACUCGACUCAUUUAAUAUGCUUACUGGACUUCUUAUUAGACCAUAUACUCAACUUACUUAUCUCCAAUUCUUACUCGACUAAAUUCUCGACUUACCCAACUUCGUACUCGACUUCUUCCUGCAAUGAGAGGAAGAAAUGUGUGGAUUCUUUAUUUUUUUAAGGUUAUUUUUUACUUUUUCUAUCUUCGUGAGGUAUAUGUAUGUAAUAGGAUAUACAUUUAGUAUUUAAAGGUAAAUUAGGGAUAUUUAAAUAAAAAAACCUUGCAAAUAAUUUGAUGAUUCUUUCCUUUAAUGGCAGAGCCAGGCAGUGUCACAGUGACAAGUACGUUUCGUCAUCUAGCCUCUAACCAUUAACCAACAUCCGCUAAACAAAUACCAGUAGAUUACACAAGAAGAAUCCUCAUUUUCCCUAAUUGUUUGUUUAUACUUGUAAAUAAUUUGAUGAUUGUUUCCUUGAACGUCAGAGCCAGACAGUGAUUCCAAAAAUAAUAUCAGCACUCUGCUAAGUUACAUAAUCUCUAAUUUACAGACCUAGCUUUAAUACCAAAUGCAUGCGCUCCCUCAUUCUUGCGGGACACGUGUAAUCAUCCCAUUUGAUGUGUAAGUAACAUAAUCUGUAACAUAUCAAGAUCCCAGGCCCAGCUAUAUAAUUAUUUGGAUUGGAACGCCACCUUAUAGUUGUACUGAUUUGAUCUUGUUGGAGUUGUCAGUAUUUUUGUCUAGACAUGUUUUGGACUUUUCUUUAUCUCAUUUGGCCAUAUCUGUGUAACGUGAUUUGAAAUAGGUUUUGGUAUUGUUGAUUUUAGUAGCGUAGGGUAAUCUUAAUUAAAAUAAGUAUCUCUAAAGGAAUAUUUAAUUGGUUGGUCUCUUGCCAUUGACUUCAGAAGUUAAUCAAGGGUGCGUUUUGGCAGCUGGAAUUACACUGAAUUUGCAUUGGAUUAACUUAUUAUUCUUGUACUAAUCUAUAUUUACCAUUUGGCUACAAUUUUUUAUUGCAUUGAAAGGUGUACAAAAUUAACCCAUGAGCGGUAGAGUUUAGGGUGUAUUGCAUUAAAAUAUUAUUCAUAUUUUAAAUGUAUUUAUUUAACUUUUAUUUUUAUUUAUUAAAUGUUAAAUUAUGGUUAGAUUUAAAUAAAAAAAAUUAAUUUAAGCAAUAAUAUAAUAAAUUAAUAAACCUAAACAUUCAAUAACUAAAUGAUAAUGCAUUAUUUUACUUUCAUUACAUAAAAUCAUUUUAAUUAUUUUACAUUAAAUAUGUAAAAAGUAUUUUAAUUUUAUUUAAUCAUUUAUUAUUUAUUAAAAUGCUAAAUUGAAAAAAAAAUUAAACAAUUAUAUUUGACAUUAAUAAAUAAAAAUAAAUUUAUAUUUUGAUAUUAUGUUGUUUUAUAAUAGUUUUUAACUUAUAUUAUACCCGUACAGCAGAAUUUAAUAUUUAGUUUAAAAAAUUAUUAAUAAAAUCCUAAAAUAUUAAUAAAUUUAAAUAAUAUUAAUUUAAUUUUAAGAUUAAUAUAGAAUAGUAUUAAUUUAUAUAAGACAGUCAAUACCAUACUAAACAUUAUAUUAAAAAUAAUUAUAUAUGAUACACAACAUAGUGCAAUGCAAAUAAUAUAAUGUAAUAUAAUAUAAUGUGUCAAACGUUCUCCAAAUGAAUACACUUAAACUGAAGUACGGAUGGAUUAAGUCAUUGAGGUUAUGCAAGUUGAAAGAAAUAAGAACCCAAAUAAACUUUAAUUUAUGCGGAUUGAUUCAAAUUUUCAUGUAAUUAAAUAUUCCAUUGGAAUUGGAUUAGGGAUAUUAUUUUACUACCUAAUAUAUUUUGAGGGAUAUUAUUUUACUACCUAAUAUAUUUUGACAUAUCAUUUCACCAUUAAAAUUUUUUGACAAUUACUUUUUCUUAUUUAAUGUUUUAGUUUUUAUUAUUUUACUACCAAACCAUUAAAAUUAAUAAAGUUCUUAACGUGAAAUAUAAUAAAAGUUUAUUUUACCCCCAAAUUGAGUAAAUAUAAUUUAACGCAAAUUAAAAAAAAUAAAAAAUUAAUUAUAUACAAAAAUAAUAUUUUCACCAAUUGAUUAUUUAAUAUAUAUAAAAUAACUAAUUGAUAAAAUUAUAAAUAUCAUACCAUAUGAAAUUCCUAAAACAUUGUAUAUAUUGAAAUUCUUAAAAUACUCACGUGAAACUAAUAAAUUAUUAAUAGAGUUCACAGUUUAGUGAUAAAAUAAUAAAAAUCAAAAUAUUAGAUGAAAAAAGUAAUUGUCAAAAAUUUUUAUUGGUAAAAUAAUGUGUUAAAAAAAUAUUAAACAAUAGAAAGAUAAUAUCCCGUUAGAAUAUUUAGGUUAUAACUUUCUCAAUACAAAACUCAAGCCCACAGCCCACAGCCCACAGCCAAUGGCUACGGACGUUGCUUUAAGUUCUUUUAUUCGAAGGAUUGGUAAACCACGUACCGCUAUCAUUAUAAUAAUUGGAACAAGCGAGAUUGGGUGUAAUUUUCAUUUGUUUUCGUCCUUAUCAUGACAUAGCAUCAUCUAUUCAUUUUACGUGUUAGCUUAUUACUCUUGUUUGUUUUAAGUUAAAUAAAAUAUUAAUCCCUUUUUUUGACAUUUGAGGCGAGUUAUAUAAAUAACAAUCCGUUCUUGACAUUUGAAGCAUACUUGUACCAAGAGCAAAGCUUAAACAUUUCAAUUUUUGGCUUUUUUAUUUUGUUUUUUAUUUGUUAAGUUUUAUAAUCUCAAAAUCAAGUUUAUGUUUGGCAUGCAGUAUUGCAUAAUAUUAAUUUGUGGGCUCACAUUAAUUGAAAUAAUUCCGUAUUUGGCAAUUAAAAUGGAUUGCAUUGAUCAGCAUUAACAUUAACAAACUAGAGCCCUUAAUGUAAAGAGAGAAAUCAAACUAAGCCACUCAUAUCGAGGAGACCAGUCAGCCAUCUUGAUGAAGAACAAGCUCCAUAUUCAAAUCAUGUCUCGAUAAGGUAACAAGACAAAAACUCGCAUGAUACUUGCAUAAAUUAAAAAAAAAAAAAACACACUCUUCGCAUAUUAAAUUGAGAUCUUAGGUUAUUGGUAUGCCAGCUUCAGCUCCGCUUUCACAUUGCCAGACCAAAUGAAAAACUAAAUAUUGCCUGAAAUUAUAGUCACCGAAAGAGUACAGAAGUUUUGACGUAGUUCACAGUUUCUCAAAACUUUCAGGAACUCGGACACUCAGAUUCGAAGGAACCUGAGAUGAGAAUCUUUUCAUGGAACCUGAAGAGCUCACCGAGUAUUUUGCUUCUUCUUCAGAGGUGGGCCAAUACUCCAUGCCUCUCCGAUUUGUAAUCCAUAAGCAUGAUCCAGCUUUACUCUCGUCAGUAAUAAGCUCAAAAGCACCUAAAAGAAAACAUGUUUGGAAUAUGAGAUAAGAGUUUCAAAACAAAGGGGACAAACCUGGAGGGUUCUAAUGAAAUUGCAAGCCAGAUUUAUUCGUCCUUCUCAAGAAAAAGUAAUAAAAAGAGAAAGAAAGAGGUAUAUUCACUGUGCACCUGAAGCUGAUAUUUUUUAUACCCAGAAAGAGUAAUUUAAGUUCAUUUUUAAGGAGUCUUUCUUGUUCAGAUUUCAGACAAUUCAAGCCUUACGA
rnacentral:lncRNA from 1 species